CCUCCUGCCAUAGGCUGCCCCCUCUCCGCCUUAACUCCUUCCCUCCCAGCACCAGCCCUGGGCACCUCCUCUUUGGGGCCUGGCUCACCCCACCAGGCCUCCCGCCCUUUCUGGCGGCCUUUCUUCUCCUGCCUCGGCUUUCCCUGUUUCUAAAGGAAUAAAGGGAGAGGCCAUCUUUGGAUCCCCUUGCAGUGGCACCUUCUCCAAACUAAAAGUCCUCUCCUCCGAGGCCUCCAACCCUGCCCUCAGGCCGAGUCAGAGGAGCCUCCCUGAGGGUGGAAGCCAGCUCUUUCCAAGGUAUGGCUGGCACACUUAGCUGGCCAGGAGAUUCAAGUUACAGAUGAAGAACCCAACUCUAGACAAAAGGAAAGGAAGGGGGACAAAAUAAUAAAAUGACCUUCAGUGACCA